AGCAAAUGUGACCGCAGCUGUUCCAUUCUCCUCAUCUAUUUCUUCAAUCUCAGCUUCAUAACACCUGUAAAGAUAUCAUGGCUGUAAGCAUUGGGCUAACAUCAUCUUGAGUUGAGCUAGAUGAAAAUACGUGGAAACCCAAACUGCAUGAGGUAAAAAGUAUUAAUCUCUGGCUAGCUCUUCAUGUGACACUGGGCAGUUAAGGAAUGUUGCAAAAGAAGCAGGGGCGUAAAAAAAAAAAAAAAAGCACAAUACAA